CAGGUGCCCGCCACCUUGCCCAGCUAAUUCUUGUAUUUUUAGUAGAGACGGGUUUUCAUCAUAUUGGCCAGGCUGGUCUCGAACUCCUAACCUUGUGAUCCGCCUGCCUCGGCCUCCCAAAGUACUAAGAUUACAGGUGUAAGCCACCGCACCCAGCCCCAUGAUUGCCUUUUAAGAUAGGGUAGCUGCACUUUAACUAAGACAGAGGUUGGCCAACUCCAGCCCAUGGAUCAAAUGUGAACCACCUGCUGGGUUUUGUUGUUGUUGUUGUUGUUGUUGUUGUUUUGAGACCGAGUCUCGCUCUGUUGCCCAGGCUGGAGUGCAGUGGUGCAAUCUCGGCUCACUGCAACCUCCACCUCCCAGGUUCAAGCGAUUUGCCUGCCUCAGCCUCCCGAGUAGCCGGGACUACAGGUGCCUACCACCACGCCUGGCUAAUUUUUUUGUAUUUUUAGUAGAGACGGGGUUUCACCAUGUUAGCCAGGAUGGUCUCGAUCUCUUGACCUGGUGAUCCGCCCGCCUCGGCCUCCCAAAGUCCUGGGAUUACAAAUGUGAGCCACUGCGCUUGGCCCACCAACUGCUGUUUUUUAAACCCAUAAGCCAGGAAUGGGUUUUAUAAUUUUAAAUUGUUCAAAAAAACCAAAAGAAUAAUGUUUUGCGACAUGAAAAAUUAUAUGAAAUUCAGAUGUUGAUGAAUAAAGUUUUAUUGGCACACAGCAUGCACAUCUGCUCGCAUGCUGGCUUGUGGCAGGGCUGAGGGGCUGUGACAGCCCCAUAUGGCCCACAAAGCUGAAAAGAUUUGCUGUGAGGCCCUUUACAUAAUGCGUUUGCUGAUGCCAACUCUAAAUAUCUAUAUUUGCAUUGAAAUUGGUUUCAAAAAUAAAUAUGCGUUGAAUGCAGCUGGGCCUGUGAACAUGGUCAUUGUGUUUAGAAUGCGGUGUCUUUCCCAGAUGUUGUGUGUUUGUGUUGCCGAGGCUGCUGAAGGCGGCCUGUAGAGGGCAGGGGCCCAGGCAGGCACAGACACUUCACUGAUGUCUUGGUUGGUGCUUGGAGCACCUCAGGGAAUAUGUCCUCAGGGAAGGAAGACAGGCCGGGCGGAGGGGCCCCGGAGUGUUGGCUUCCACCAGGCUCCUGCUGUGGUGGUGCUCAGGGAGACGGCUGGAGGAUCUGAGGAGAGCCAAAGCCCCAGGCGGUGCCCUCCCCUCCUCCUUCUAAAGCAAAGUCCUGGCCCACUGCCUGUUGAAAAGCACUUUUUUCAACAAUACACACUGCGAAGUUUGAAGAAUUUUUCAGCGAACACUGCCCCUGCCACUCACCCCUGGAGUUUGCCGUGGGCAUUUGCUGUGCUGGCGCCAUCACACCUGGCAUCACCCCGGCCUCCGUUCCUGCCCUGUGUUCACCCAUCCUCCUGCUUGCGGUUUUUAUUGUAAAAUACACAGAACGUAAAAUUGACCACGACAGCCACCUUAACAUGCACCACUCAGGCACAGUACAUUCACAGCAUGGUGCCUCCAUCACUUUUACCUGCUUCUGAACAUUCCAUCCCAAGAAGAAACCGGUACUCAUCAGCAGGCCCUCCCCAGCACCCACCCCCAGCCCCGGCAGCCACUCAGCUGCCUCCUGCCUCUGCGGACCAGCCUGUUCCGGAGGCUUAAUGAGCAAAUCACAGCCUGUGGCCCUUGUGUCUGCUUCCUUCCCUUACGUGAAGGUUUCUAGGGCCAUGCCCGGUGUGGGGCACCCUUCCUUUUGAUGGCUGGGUAGUGUGCUGCGGUACGUGCGUGAGUUUCCCGAGACAUAACACAUUACCACAGGCCGGGUGGCCUCAGCCAGCGGAAAUGGAUUCUUGCCGGAUUCUGGAGGCCAGAAGUGCAAAAUCAAGGUGUCAGCCGGGCCCUCCCUCUGAGGCUCUCCGGAAAGGUCCUUGCUGUCCCCUGGCUGGUGGCUGCACCACUCCAGUCUCGGCCUCGGCCUUCACCCGGCAUCUCUACUGCACGUCUGCGUCUCUAAGGGCCCAGUCAUAGGAUUGAGGGCCCACCCUGGCCCAGCGUGACCUCAUCUUAGCUCACUAACACUGCAGAGACCCUACUUCCAAAGGCAGCCACACCCAUGUAGCACACGCGGGCCACACUUUGUCGUCCGCCGAUGGGCGCUGGGGGUGCUCCUGCCUUUUGGCCACUGAGUCGCGCUGCCCUGGAUGCUCAUAUGCAGGUCUGUGUGUGGACGUAAGUUUCAGUGUCUUGGGUGUACAGCUAGGAGUGGAACUGCAGGGUCACACGAUAACUGGGCUUCUAGGGGACAGUUACCACUCGACUUUGAAAUCUAGAUUUGUACAGACAUACGAGGGCCUGUGUAUUAUGUUGAAAAUAGACGCACGUGUUUAGAGGCCAGCUCCCUGCGAGCAUGCAGAUGCUGGUGUCAGGCUGGGAGGAGGCAGACGGACACAUUCCCCACAUGAAGACCAAGCAGAAGUGGAGGCGAAAGCCAGCGUGGGCUGACUGUGGAGCGGCCCCACUGUGCACGCACGCAGGCGAUGCUGGGGUUUGGGCUGACCGUGGAGCGGCCCCACUGUGCACGCACGCAGGCGAUGCUGGGGUUUGGGCUGACUGUGGAGCGGCCCCAUCGUGUAGGCACGCAGGCAAUGCUGGGGUUUGGCCGAGCUCUGCCGCUGGCUGGGGCACAGGGUGGCUCUGGCUCCCACGGUCCCCAACACGCUCUUGGCACCAUGGGCAGCUCCCCAGGCCAGAAGCACCUGCAGAAGGCGCUCAUUCCUCCUCCCCGUGCUCUUCCCUGCAGAUGGGAUGGGGUGACCUCGGGGUGUAUGGAGAGCCCUCCAGAGAGACCCCAAAUCUGGACCGGAUGGCUGCAGAAGGGAUGCUUUUCCCAAACUUCUAUUCUGCCAACCCUCUGUGCUCGCCAUGUAAGUCAGUGGGGCCCUCGCCCCCAGGAAAGGGUGAACCCAGCAGGCCGAGGCCUCCCGGGUCCUUCCAGCCCUGACCCUGGGUGGCCGCAUCAACCUUGUCUAUUCCUACUACUGCAGGGAGGGUGGCAGGUGGGCUCAGGCCUUUCUCAUCAGGUCCCAGCCCAGCUCCGUGCCGUGUGGGGUGCGGCACCUGCUAGGUUUUCAGGGUCAAAGUUGCGGUAUUGUUGGUGGCUGCUGUUCUCUGUUUCCCAGAGUCGAGGUCUGUGGCCACCUGGGGAGAGGCGCUGCAGUGUGGCUCCGUCCAGGGUACCUGGGAAGCAGGAGUCCCACUCCCUCCCUCCCUGGGGAGAGUCUCUCCUGCUGGAGACAGAAACGUGGCGUUGAUCGUGAGGAAGAGGGGAAGGCAGGGCAUGGGGCCGGUGCUUGAGGAUGGGGCCAUGUGGACCUGCACGCCCAGUGGGUGUCCCGGGAGCCUGUGAGAGGAGACAGGGUCUUGGGGACAAUGCUGAGCUGCAGGGCCCAAGGGCCAUGCGUCUUUCAGUGCAAUGGGUGCUGUGCCCCACUCAGGUGGUGGAGACGCUAACGGGGAUUGACAGGCGUGGCAGCCCCUUGUAAACCUGUGCGUGCCUCAUCUGUCACCGUCUGUCUACUCGGUGGGGCUCUUGUUGACACGCAGGGUCUGAGCCACACCCUUCUCAUCCAGUUUGUUUCUGUCACCACAUAGCGAGAGCGGCACUGCUCACAGGACGGCUGCCCAUCCGCAAUGGCUUCUACACCACCAACGCCCACGCCAGAAACGCCUACACACCGCAGGAGAUCGUGGGCGGCAUCCCAGACUCGGAGCAGCUCCUGCCGGAGCUUCUGAAGAAGGCCGGCUACGUCAGCAAGAUCGUUGGCAAGUGGCAUCUGGGUCACAGGCCCCAGUUCCACCCCCUGAAGCACGGAUUUGAUGAGUGGUUUGGAUCCCCCAACUGCCAUUUUGGACCUUAUGACAACAAGGCCAGGCCCAACAUUCCUGUGUACAGGGACUGGGAGAUGGUUGGCAGGUAUUAUGAAGAAUUUCCUAUUAAUCUGAAGACGGGGGAAGCCAACCUCACCCAGAUCUACCUGCAGGAAGCCCUGGACUUCAUUAAGAGACAGGCGCGGCACCACCCCUUCUUCCUCUACUGGGCUGUGGACGCCACGCACGCACCCGUCUAUGCCUCCAAACCCUUCUUGGGCACCAGUCAGCGAGGGCGGUAUGGAGACGCCGUCCGGGAGAUUGAUGACAGUAUUGGGAAGAUGCUGGAGCUCCUCCAAGACCUGCACGUCGCAGACAACACCUUCGUCUUCUUCACGUCGGACAACGGCGCUGCCCUCAUUUCCACCCCUGAACAAGGUGGCAGCAACGGCCCCUUUCUGUGUGGGAAGCAGACCACGUUUGAAGGAGGGAUGAGGGAGCCUGCCCUCGCAUGGUGGCCGGGGCACAUCGCCGCAGGCCAGGUGAACCACCAGCUGGGCAGCACCAUGGACCUCUUCACCACCAGCCUGGCCCUUGCGGGCCUGACGCCACCCAGCGACAGGGCCAUUGAUGGCCUCAACCUCCUCCCCGCCCUCCUGCAGGGCCAGCUGAUGGACAGGCCCAUCUUGUAUUACCGAGGCGACACGCUGAUGGCGGCCACCCUCGGGCAGCACAAGGCUCACUUCUGGACCUGGACCAACUCCUGGGAGAACUUCAGACAGGGCAUUGAUUUCUGCCCUGGGCAGAACGUUUCAGGGGUCACAACUCACAACCUGGAAGACCACACGAAGCUGCCUCUGAUCUUCCACCUGGGACGGGACCCAGGGGAGAGGUUCCCCCUCAGCUUUGCCAGUGCCGAGUACCAGGAGGCCCUCAGCAGGAUCACCUCGGUCGUCCAGCAGCACCAGGAGGCCUUGGACCCUGGGCAGCCCCAGCUCAACGUGUGCAACUGGGCAGUCAUGAACUGGGCACCUCCGGGCUGUGAAAAGUUGGGGAAGUGUCUGACACCUCCAGAAUCCAUUCCCAAGAAGUGCCUCUGGUCCCACUAGCGCCUGCGCGGACCCAGGCCAGGCCUGGAAUCUCCGGUUGGCCCUGUAAGUGCCUGGAGGGAGGACCGCUCUGGCCUCGGUCCUCCCCCAACUCUGCCCAAGCCAGACGGACAGCACCUGCAGACGCAGGGGGACUGCACAACUCCACCUGCCCAGGACCUGACCCUGGAGUGUGCUUGACCCUCCUCCUCGCCCACAGCGCCUCAGAUGUCAGGACCCUCCUCUUCACCCACAGCACCUCAGACCUCAGGACCCUGCCGUCUCACGCCUUUGUGAACCCCAAAUAUCUGAGACAGAUCUCAGUUUAUUUUGCCAAGGUUAAGGAUGCGCCCGUGACAGCCUCAGGAGGUCCUGACAACAGGUGCCUGAGGUGGCUGGGGAUACAGUUUGCCUUUAUACAUCUUAGGGAGACAUAAGAUCAGUAUGUGUAUGACGUACAUUGGUUCAGUCAGCCUUCUACUGAAUACACGAUUGAGUCUGGCCCAGUGAAUCCGCAUUUUUAUGUAAACAAUAAGGGAAGGGAGCAAUCAGAUAAGCGUUUGUCUCAGGGGAGCCCCAGAGGGAUGACUUCCAGUUCCGUCUGUCCUUUGUCCACAAGGAGUUUCUUUGGGCGCUAAUUAUGAGGGAGGCCUGUAGCUUCUUAUCAUUGUAGCUAUGUUAUUUAGAAAUAAAACGGGAGGCAGGUUUGCCUAAUUCUCAGCUUG
rnacentral:sRNA from 1 species